GUCGAGCGGAUGAAGGGAGCUUGCUCCUGGAUUCAGCGGCGGACGGGUGAGUAAUGCCUAGGAAUCUGCCUGGUAGUGGGGGAUAACGUCCGGAAACGGGCGCUAAUACCGCAUACGUCCUGAGGGAGAAAGUGGGGGAUCUUCGGACCUCACGCUAUCAGAUGAGCCUAGGUCGGAUUAGCUAGUUGGUGGGGUAAAGGCCUACCAAGGCGACGAUCCGUAACUGGUCUGAGAGGAUGAUCAGUCACACUGGAACUGAGACACGGUCCAGACUCCUACGGGAGGCAGCAGUGGGGAAUAUUGGACAAUGGGCGAAAGCCUGAUCCAGCCAUGCCGCGUGUGUGAAGAAGGUCUUCGGAUUGUAAAGCACUUUAAGUUGGGAGGAAGGGCAGUAAGUUAAUACCUUGCUGUUUUGACGUUACCAACAGAAUAAGCACCGGCUAACUUCGUGCCAGCAGCCGCGGUAAUACGAAGGGUGCAAGCGUUAAUCGGAAUUACUGGGCGUAAAGCGCGCGUAGGUGGUUCAGCAAGUUGGAUGUGAAAUCCCCGGGCUCAACCUGGGAACUGCAUCCAAAACUACUGAGCUAGAGUACGGUAGAGGGUGGUGGAAUUUCCUGUGUAGCGGUGAAAUGCGUAGAUAUAGGAAGGAACACCAGUGGCGAAGGCGACCACCUGGACUGAUACUGACACUGAGGUGCGAAAGCGUGGGGAGCAAACAGGAUUAGAUACCCUGGUAGUCCACGCCGUAAACGAUGUCGACUAGCCGUUGGGAUCCUUGAGAUCUUAGUGGCGCAGCUAACGCGAUAAGUCGACCGCCUGGGGAGUACGGCCGCAAAGGUUAAAACUCAAAUGAAUUGACGGGGGCCCGCACAAGCGGUGG
rnacentral:rRNA from 1 species